UACGUAGGCAGCGAGCGUUGUUCGGAAUUAUUGGGCGUAAAGAGUGCGUAGGCGGUGCUCUAAGUCUGUCGUGAAAUCUCCCGGCUUAACUGGGAGGGUGCGGCGGAAACUGGAAUGCUAGAGUGUGGGAGAGGUAAGCGGAAUUCCUGGUGUAGCGGUGAAAUGCGUAGAUAUCAGGAGGAACACCUGUGGUGUAGACAGCUUACUGGACCACGACUGACGCUGAGGCACGAAAGCGUGGGUAGCAAACAGG
rnacentral:rRNA from 1 species